AAAAACAUAUCGUAGGUUAUAAGAAAACCCUAAUCGAAGAACAGCAGUCAAUCAUCUUCUCCAGGCAGUCACGCACGCACUCAACCAUCUUCUGAUUCUUCUCCAGCAUCGCGAUUAAGCAAAUUUCAUUCCGAUUUCAGCAUGAAAGUCUCCAAGCUUAAUUUUUGAUCUUGAUUGAAUUGCUAUAUAAGCCUUGAGGAGGAGGAUGAUGAUGAUGAUGCGGAGCGGAACGAGUAUCAUGAUAUUUAGAUGUCAGUUUAAGCUAUUUGAACUAUUUUAUGGAGUUUGUUUAAUGUUAAACCUUGUUUGUUGAACUAUUUUAUGGUGUUUGUUUUAUGUUAAACCUUGUUUGUUGAACUAUUUUCUAUUUAUGAUGUUUGUUUUAUGUUAA